GUUUCUUGCCUCUCUGAGAAGACAUACUUGGAGGCCUAUAAAUGCUUAAGAUUGUCCUAACAUGGCUGUUUUGCUGUAGGUGCUGUGCCUGAGGAACAAUACCAUUUUUAAGCAAGGCUUUUCUUUCUUAAGGUUUAGAACUUCAGGAGAGAAGCCCAUCUAUUCUGUAGGUGGAAUUCUACUAAGUACCAGUUGGCCCUACAAGACAAAGCCCACCGACGGCAUUGGAAAGUACAAGCACUUAAUUAAAGCA